CACGUAGGGGCGAGCGUUGUCCGGAAUUAUUGGGCGUAAAGAGCGCGCAGGUGGUUGAUUAAGUCUGAUGUGAAAGCCCACGGCUUAACCGUGGAGGGUCAUUGGAAACUGGUCGACUUGAGUGCAGAAGAGGGAAGUGGAAUUCCAUGUGUAGCGGUGAAAUGCGUAGAUAUUAGGAGGAACACCGGUGGCGAAGGCGGCUUACUGGACUGUAACUGACGCUGAGGCGCGAAAGCGUGGGGAGCAAACAGGAUUAGAUACCCUGGUAGU
rnacentral:rRNA from 1 species